GACGGAGGGUGCUAGCGUUGUUCGGAAUUACUGGGCGUAAAGGGCGCGUAGGCGGCCUGGUCAGUCGGAUGUGAAAGCCCGGGGCUCAACCCCGGAACGGCAUCCGAGACGGCCAGGCUGGAGACCGGGAGAGGAGAGUGGAAUAGCCAGUGUAGAGGUGAAAUUCGUAGAUAUUGGCUGGAACACCGGUGGCGAAAGCGGCUCUCUGACCCGGUUCUGACGCUGAGGCGCGAAAGCGUGGGGAGCAAACAGG
rnacentral:rRNA from 1 species